rnacentral:rRNA from 1 species
CCUACGGGAGGCAGCAGUGGGGGAUAUUGCACAAUGGGGGGAACCCUGAUGCAGCGACGCCGCGUGGGUGACGAUGCCCUUCGGGGCGUAAAGCUCUGUCUUCAGGGAAGAAAAUGACGGUACCUGAAGAAGAAGCCACGGCUAACUACGUGCCAGCAGCCGCGGUAAUACGUAGGGGGCAAGCGUUGUCCGGAUUUACUGGGUGUAAAGGGAGCGCAGGCGGGAGUGGAAGCCAGGGGGGAAAGCCCCGGGCCCAACCUGGGGACUGCAUUUGAAACUGGAAGGCUGGAGUGCAGGAGAGGAGGGUGGAAUGCCUGGUGUAGCGGUGAAAUGCGUAGAUAUCAGGAAGAACACCAGUGGCGAAGGC